rnacentral:rRNA from 1 species
GAUGAACGCUGGCGGCGUGCCUAAUACAUGCAAGUCGAGCGAACAGACGAGGAGCUUGCUCCUCUGACGUUAGCGGCGGACGGGUGAGUAACACGUGGAUAACCUACCUAUAAGACUGGGAUAACUUCGUGAAACCGGAGCUAAUACCGGAUAAUAUAUUGAACCGCAUGGUUCAAUAGUGAAAUACGGUUUUGCUGUCACUUAUAGAUGGAUCCGCGCCGCAUUAGCUAGUUGGUAAGGUAACAGCUUACCAUGGCAACGAUGCGUAGCCGACCUGAGAGGGUGCUCGGCCACACUGGAACUGAGGCUCGGUCCAGACUCCUCCGGGACGCAGCACUAGGGCCUCUUCCGCAAAGGGCGAGAGCCUGACGGAGCAACGCCGCGUGAGUGAUGAAGGUCUUCCGCUCGUAAGACUCUGUUAUUAGGGAAGAACAAAUGUGUAAGUAACUAUGCACGUCUUGACGGUACCUAAUCAGAAAGCCACGGCUAACUACGUG